rnacentral:rRNA from 1 species
UAGGGAAUAUUGGUUAAUGUGCGAAAGCGCGAACCAGCAACGCCGCGUGUGCGAUGAAGGCCUUCGGGUCGUAAAGCACUUUUUGCAGGGAAGAGGAAGGACGGUACCUGCAGAAUAAGUCUCGGCUAACUACGUGCCAGCAGCCGCGGUAAAACGUAGGAGACGAGCGUUAUCCGGAUUUACUGGGCGUAAAGCGCGUGCAGGCGGCAUGGCAAGUUGGAUGUGAAAGCUCCCGGCUUAACUGGGAGAGGUCGUUCAAUACUGCCAGGCUUGAGGGUGGUAGAGGGGGGCGGAAUGCCGGGAGUAGUGGUGAAAGGGGGAGAGAGCCGGAGGAACACCAGUGGGGAAAGCGGCGUCGUGGGGCAUUUCUGACGCUCAGACGCGAAAGC